rnacentral:rRNA from 1 species
UACGGAGGGUGCGAGCGUUGUUCGGAAUCACUGGGCGUAAAGCGCGUGUAGGCGGCCCACUAAGUCUGAUGUGAAAGCCCGGGGCUCACCCCCCGGAAGUGCAUUGGAAACUGGUGGACUCGAGUCCCGGAGAGGAGAGUGGAAUUGCCUGGUUCGUAGCGGUGAAAUGCGUAGAUAUCAGGAGGAACACCGGUGGCGAAGGCGG